CACGUAGGGGACGAGCGUUGUCCGGAUUCAUUGGGCGUAAAGCGCGCGUAGGCGGCUCGGAAAGUCGGGCGUGAAAUGCCGGGGCUCAACCCCGGGACUGCGUCCGAUACUUCCGAGCUGGAGGUAGGUAGGGGAGAUCGGAAUUCCUGGUGGUAGGCGGUGAAAUGCGCAGAUAUCAGGAAGAACACCCGGUGGCUAAGGCGGCUCUCUAGUACGGUACUGACGCUGAGACGCGAAAGCGUGGGGAGCGAACAGG
rnacentral:rRNA from 1 species